UACAGAGGUCUCAAGCGUUGUUCGGAUUCAUUGGGCGUAAAGGGUGCGUAGGUGGCGCCGUAAGUCAGGUGUGAAAUUUCGGAGCUUAACUCCGAAACUGCAUUUGAUACUGCGGUGCUUGAGGACUGGAGAGGAGACUGGAAUUUACGGUGUAGCAGUGAAAUGCGUAGAGAUCGUAAGGAAGACCAGUGGCGAAGGCGGGUCUCUGGACGA
rnacentral:rRNA from 1 species